rnacentral:tRNA from 1 species
GUUUUGAUAGUUUAAUAGGAAAAUAUUAUAUUGUGGUUAUAAGGAAGACUAAGUCUCAAAACA